rnacentral:rRNA from 1 species
GAGUUUGAUCAUGGCUCAGAGCGAACGCUGGCGGCAGGCCUAACACAUGCAAGUCGAACGGCUCUUCGGAGCAGUGGCGGACGGGUGAGUAACGCGUGGGAACGUGCCCUUUGGUUCGGAACAACACAGGGAAACUUGUGCUAAUACCGGAUGUGCCCUUCGGGGAAGAUUUAUCGCCAUUGGAGCGGCCCGCGUUGGAUUAGGUAGUUGGUGGGGUAAAGGCCCACCAAGCCUACGAUCCAUAGCUGGUCUGAGAGGAUGAUCAGCCACACUGGGACUGAGACACGGCCCAGACUCCUACGGGAGGCAGCAGUGGGGAAUCUUGCGCAAUGGGCGAAAGCCUGACGCAGCCAUGCCGCGUGUAUGAUGAAGGUCUUAGGAUUGUAAAAU